rnacentral:misc_RNA from 2 species
ACGAGUUAGGGUCUUCCAGGCCCGACCUCCCAACCCUAUGUUUAUUGAACCUCUGUUGCUUCGGCGGGCCCGUCUCACGACCGCCGGAGGACCGCUGCGAGGCGUCCUCUGGCCCGCGUCCGCCGAUAGCCAACCAAUUAACACUCUGAAUAAAUCGUGUCAUUAUGUCUAAGUCUAUGAUUAAAUUAAAGCA